GCACGAAGCUGCCAUAGGAACUGCGAGCCAGAAGAGCCACUGACGUUGCCAUUGUGGCCAUCGCCAUCGCCGUGAGUGAACUCUGCCGCUGGUACUAAUCGAGACUGCCGAAGUUGCUGUUUUGACUCUGAUGUAAUUCAUCCUUGUCCCUACGCACGGUUGUCCUCUGUUCUUCCUCUGCUUUUGAUUUUUGUAGUUACCUGAAUCUCUGCUGCUGUGGGUAUUGCCGUAGGAGUCAUUGGGAACUAAUGUUGGAGCUGCCCUUGAUGAUUCUGAUGCUGCUACGUAAGUUCGGUGCUGCUGUGUUGUUGCCGGAGGAAUGGAACUCAUAAAAAAAAUGUUAUUGAGGCUGAUGUUUGGUUUGAUUGCGUUGUUAACGCGACAUUGAGUGACACAGGUUUGAAGAUGCAAUAUGAAGCUGCAAGCGAUUAGUAGGCUUUCUUUAUGGUUUUAAUUGCUUUCAUAAAGUCUCCUCGCUCUUGUCCUUUGAGGUUUUAUUUUAACAGAGGGGUAGGUGUUGUAUUUGGGUUUAUAUGACUUCUUAUGUAUAAGAAUUACUAUUAAUAAUACUUAUGUGAUUAUUAUUAUUA